ensembl:lncRNA
UCUGAUCCCUGUUACACAGCUCUGGAACACAAACUCAAUCUGCUGAUGGUGCAGGAUGCUAGUAAAUAUGACCUGCAGGUAAAAAAGAGAAUAAACAACAACACAGCAGAUGGUCCAGUUUGUAGAGUAAAGAAUGGCAGGAUGAGGGAAUGUGAUCUUUAUAAUAACAGACCUGAAGUGACAGUCAUUAAUGGGACUGUGAUAAUAAACCGUGUGAUCAGAGCAGAUUCAGGGAAUUACAGGUUAACUCUCGUUCACUCAGACGGCUCAGAAACAUCUAGAGAUCUUCAAGUGAUUGUUGAAGCUCUUAUUGGCUCAGUGGAAGUGUCAAUAAUCUGCUCCUCCAACCAGACUUCAGUGUUCUGCUCCUCUAAAGGUGAUCAGAUCAUCUACAGCUGGACUCUGAAUGGAGAUCCACUGAUGGAUGGAAACAGCAGCAUUGAUCUGGAUGAGAGAAGAGAUGGAAACAUCAGCUGCAGUGUGAAGAACCACGUCAGUCACGCACAGAAGACCAUUAGACUCAAACCCUGUGCUGGUGAGAUUUUAAUACAAACCCGAUUCUAAAAAAGUUGGGACACUGUACAAAUUGCAGUGGUGGUCAGUAACUGAGUAGCUUUUCUUCGUUACUGUACUUAAGUACAUUUUUCAAGUAUCUGUACUUUACUGGAGUAGUUUUAUUUUGAGUAACUUUUACUUCACUACAUUUCAAAGCAUAAGAUCGUACUUUUUACUUCACUACAUUUCAUAAAACAUAUGUUACUCCUAAUAAUAUAUCACGUGUUCCGACACGCAGAAGCGGUGUCUGAUUCAUGAACGAACUGAUUCUUUUUAAUCAACCUUUUAAAUCGGUUCGCAAAUCGCACCAAACGAUUCAUUCACGAAUUAUAAUGAUCCGAUUGCAGCUGUUCUCGAGUCGACAACUCACUGAUUCAAAUGAAUCGUUUAGUGCGAGUCUCUAGUGAAUUGAAUUCACAACCGGGAGAACUUGUAAGCGCGUGUGCGACUGAUGCUGCUAAAAGUUAGUUACUAAUGUUGAAUUUUAGGAUUAAUUAUUGUAACUGAAAACCAUAUUUAGGUCAAAACUGUCAGUUGUUUGUGAACUAAAUCUGCUGUAAAAGGUGAUCUAUUUAAGGCCACUGAAAUGCUUGAAUGCACACACAUCAACAUCCGUGUCAUGUUUUAGGUCAAAAAAGGAAACAUAAUAAAAUAAAAUAACACAGAUUAAAUAAAAUAACU